GAUGAACGCUGGCGGCGUGCCUAAUACAUGCAAGUCGAGCGAACGGACGAGAAGCUUGCUUUUCUGAUGUUAGCGGCGGACGGGUGAGUAACACGUGGAUAACCUACCUAUAAGACUGGGAUAACUUCGGGAAACCGGAGCUAAUACCGGAUAAUAUUUUGAACCGCAUGGUUCAAAAGUGAAAGACGGUCUUUCUGUCACUUAUAGAUGGAUCCGCGCUGCAUUAGCUAGUUGUUAAGGUAACGGCUUACCAAGGCAACGAUGCAUAGCCGACCUGAGAGGGUGAUAGGCCACCCUGGAACUGAGCCACGGUCCAGACUCCUACGGGAGGCCGCAGUCGGGAAUCUUACGCAGUGGGCGAGAGCCUGACGCAGCAGCGCCGCGUGAGUGAUGGAGGUCUUCUGAUCGUAAAACUCUGUUAUUAGUGAAAGACAUAUGUGUAAGUAACUGUGCAGAUCUUGACGGUACCUAAUAAAAAAGCCACGGCUAACUACGUG
rnacentral:rRNA from 1 species